rnacentral:rRNA from 1 species
UACGUAGGGUGCAAGCGUUAUCCGGAAUUAUUGGGCGUAAAGAGCUCGUAGGCGGUUUGUCGCGUCUGCUGUGAAAACUGGAGGCUCAACCUCCAGCCUGCAGUGGGUACGGGCAGACUAGAGUGCGGUAGGGGAGAUUGGAAUUCCUGGUGUAGCGGUGGAAUGCGCAGAUAUCAGGAGGAACACCGAUGGCGAAGGCAGGUCUCUGGGCCACUACUGACGCUGAGAAGCGAAAAGCAUGGGGGAGCGAACAGG